GCGUCGGCGGUUCAGUGGUAGAAUACUCGCCUCCCACGCGGGUGGCCCGGGUUCGAUUCCCGGCCGACGCA
rnacentral:tRNA from 1 species